rnacentral:rRNA from 1 species
UGGGGAAUAUUGGACAAUGGGGGCAACCCUGAUCCAGCAAUGCCGCGUGUGUGAAGAAGGCCUGCGGGUUGUAAAGCACUUUCAGUAGAGAAGAAAAGCCUAGGGUUAAUACCCCUGAGUCUUGACGUAACCUACAGAAGAAGCACCGGCUAACUCCGUGCCAGCAGCCGCGGUAAUACGGAGGGUGCAAGCGUUAAUCGGAAUUACUGGGUUUAAAGGAUGCGUAGGCGGCUUUUUAAGUCAGUGGUGAAAGCCUAGACACUUAAUGUCAGAAGUGCCAUUGAUACUGAAGAGCUUGAGUCAAGGAGAGGUAAGCAGAAUUUGUGGUGUAGCAGUGAAAUGCUUAGAUACCAUGAGGAAUACCAACAGCGAAAGCAGCUUACUGGCCUUGUACUGACGCUGAGGCACGAAAGCGUGGGGAGCAAACAGGAUUAGAUACCCCCGUAGUCC